rnacentral:rRNA from 1 species
GACGAACGCUGGCGGCGUGCUUAACACAUGCAAGUCGAACGGAGAAAGAGGGAGCUUGCUCCCUUCGGAUUAGCGGCGAACGGGUGAGUAACACGUGAGCAAUCUGCCCCGAACUCUGGGAUAAGUGUUGGAAACGACGUCUAAUACCGGAUAAGACGCUGAAGGGCAUCCUCUCCGAGUGGAAAGAACUUCGGUUCGGGAUGAGCGCGCGGCCCAUCACCUUGUUGGUGAAGUAAAGGCUAACCAAGUGGACGGCGGGUGGCCGGCCUGAGAAGGGGACCAGGCACACGGGGACUGAGAGACGGCCCAGACUCCUACGGGAGGCAGCAGGGGGGAAUAUUGCACAAUGGGCGCAAGCCUGAUGCAGCGACGCUCCGUGAGUGACAACGUGCUUCUAGUUAUGAACCUCUGUUUGCGUGGAAGAAGCGAAAUUGACGGUACCUACAGAAAAAGCACCGGCUAACUACGUG